UAUAAGUAAAAGCAAGUUUCCUGUGGCUGAGAAAAUAGGGUUGGGUAGAGUUUGUGUUCAGCUGCAGGCUCCAGUUUAGGCUGAGUUUUAAGCCUAUGAAUAAUCUCCCCAGAGCUGCUGAGAUCACUCGUACGCCUAAUGCGUGUGUCUCAGUUUGACCCCAUUUGACUCCAGAGUGAAGGAAAUGAUGCCUCGGUUGACCAUAGCUGUUUGUUUCUGAUUUGUCUGCAUUUACAUACCCUCUGUGUCUGCUUUCCAUUAACAUGUGAGACUUUAGCGGGGGAUUUUUCACAAACAGUUACCACUAGCCAAACUAAACUCCACUGGGCACAGUUCGACGCCAUCGAGUGCUUUUGAAAAACUGCCCGUGUUUCUCCUUUCAGACAAAUUCCCCGCAGAGCUUAUGUGCUGACAACCACUCGUGGACGAUACUCAUGGUUGUAUCUUCUCCAUCGGUAUGUUACUGCAAAGAAAAAGUAAAAACCGCUUUGGUGCUAUCUUAAGAGGCUCAUGAAGACAGUGUUCAUUGGUUGACCCUUGAGAUACUGCUUAGCUACACUGGGGCAAAGUGCAAAUAAGCUUGAGAGGCUCAGGCCAUAUGGAGUCUGUUGUCUUCUUUGCUGAAAGUCCGACAGAUGGGAUCUUUUGAUGGUCCAGAAGUUCUACUCAAGGGAUUGGCUGUCAAGCCAGAGAUUUUUUUCUGCUCAGUAACAAAGUAAUCCAGAUCUUGGUGAAACAGUUCACAUAAAACUUAUCCUUAUCUUCACAAUUCAUAAGCCUAAUUCCUAAACUGCAGGUGCAAGCUUCGCUGUGGGUACCUAUUUCUUUCCCAACAGAGGAGGAUUUACAGUGGGAGAAUUUAACUGGAGGAAAUGAGCCCUGGUAUCAGCUACCGAUACCUGGAAGCAGAUUUGUACCUUUUUGGCCUGGCUUUGUAUUUGAGCACCCUUUGUGCUUGGGAUUGGAAAUCGGAGAUGUGAGAUGCUAGAAGAAGGAGACUACCCUGUGCUUCUGUCCUGCGGGCACAGUGAGGAUGCCUGGGGGGGGAUAUGGCAGCAGCAGCAUGAAUACUGCUGUGCAGGGAAGAUAAAUUAGCCAGUAGCUCUGUCUCCAUCCCUGGCAGGACUUUUUUAGUGAGCCAGCUGGCUGAGCUGCCUGUGGACCAGAUACAAGCAGUGCUUCUCAGCCCUUUGAGAUUCAGAGGUGUCUGCAGGCUUUACUCACACAGAGCAUACCUACGCAUAUAAGUAACCCAUCGGUUCCUGUCCAACCCACAGUGCCAGAUAAACAGCAUUUUGCUAAACAGCAUUGUCUGUGAGGGAGUAGGUGAUCUGUGGGGAAUCUGACGUAAGCUGUGACUAUAAUUAUUGUCCUUUGAAUCUGUUUCUCUGCAGUGCUUAUUUAAAGCCACAGUGGAAUCAGAGAAGGAGAUGUGAGGUUUUGCUGCCUCUCAGGUAUCUUCCCAUGUCUGCCUGGCCCAUGCUGCCCUUUCAAGAAAUGCCCUAAGCGGGUAAAUCCACAGCUAUUUGGACUGUGAGAUUAAUGGAGGGGUUACACCUCAUUCACUCUUUGGGGUAAAUCUGUGUUAGCUUGGGGGCAGGAACCCUAAAGUUUGUGCAAGAGGCUUUGCAAUCAACUCUAAUAGGCUCAGCACUGUUUCUUCUUCAAAAAGGUCCAAAACCAUUUUCAAAUAGUAAAAAAACCCUACCGUUCCUAUCUGUUGUAUGCAUGUGCGUGUUAUGCUGUACACCCAAUCGUUUAUGCAAACAUUAUUUUUACUUACAGUGGUUACUUACUGUGGACACUGGGAAAGCCAGGACACUGAAAAGAAGGUCUCU